UACGGGGGGGGCAAGCGUUGUUCGGAAUUACUGGGCGUAAAGGGCUCGUAGGUGGCCAACUAAGUCAGACGUGAAAUCCCUCGGCUUAACUUGGGAACUGCGUCUGAUACUGGGAGGCUUGAGUGCGGGAGAGGGAUGUGGAAUUCCAGGUGUAGCGGUGAAAUGCGUAGAUAUCUGGAGGAACACCGGUGGCGAAGGCGGCAUCCUGGACCGACACUGACGCUGAGGCGCGAAAGCUAGGGGAGCAAACAGG
rnacentral:rRNA from 1 species